UAUCGGAUUGAUACUAAGCCAUGCGAGUCAUUGCAGUAAUGCAAGGCAGACGGCUCAGUAACGCGUAGUCAACCUACCCUAUGGACGGGAAUAACCUCGGGAAACUGAGUAUAAUGCCCGAUAGAACACUAUUCCUGGAAUGGUUUGUGUUCCAAAUGAUUUAUCGCCGUAGGAUGGGACUGCGGCCUAUCAGUUUGUUGGUGAGGUAAUGGCCCACCAAGACUAUUACAGGUACGGGCUCUGAGAGGAGUAGCCCGGAGAUGGGUACUGAGACACGGACCCAGGCCCUAUGGGGCGCAGCAGGCGAGAAAACUUUGCAAUGUGCGAAAGCACGACAAGGUUAAUCCGAGUGGUUUGUGCUAAACGAACCUUUUGACAGUCCUAGAAACACUGUUGAAUAAGGGGUGGGCAAGUUCUGGUGUCAGCCGCCGCGGUAAAACCAGCACCUCAAGUGGUCAGGAUGAUUAUUGGGCCUAAAGCAUCCGUAGCCGGCUCUGUAAGUUUUCGGUUAAAUCUGUACGCUCAACGUACAGGCUGCCGGGAAUACUGCAGAGCUAGGGAGUGGGAGAGGUAGACGGUACUCGGUAGGAAGGGGUAAAAUCCUUUGAUCUAUUGAUGACCACCUGUGGCGAAGGCGGUCUACCAGAACACGUCCGACGGUGAGGGAUGAAAGCUGGGGGAGCAAACCGGAUUAGAUACCCGGGUAGUCCCAGCUGUAAACUAUGCAAACUCAGUGAUGCAUUGGCUUGUGGCCAAUGCAGUGCUGCAGGGAAGCCGUUAAGUUUGCCGCCUGGGAAGUACGUACGCAAGUAUGAAACUUAAAGGAAUUGGCGGGGAGCACCACAAGGGGUGAAGCCUGCGGUUCAAUUGGAUUC
rnacentral:rRNA from 1 species